rnacentral:rRNA from 1 species
UCCUACGGGAGGCAGCAGUGAGGAAUAUUGCGCAAUGGACGAAAGUCUGACGCAGCAACGCCGCGUGCAGGAUGAUGGGUUGUAAACUGCUGUAGCCGGCUAACUACGUGCCAGCAGCCGCGGUAAUACGUAGGGAGCAAGCGUUGUCCGGAUUCACUGGGUGUAAAGGGUGCGCAGGCGGAUUGGUAAGUCAGGGGUGAAAUCUCACGGCUUAACCGUGAAAUUGCCUUUGAUACUGAUCUUGAGUUCGGGAGAGGUCGAUGGAAUUCCAGGUGUAGCGGUGAAAUGCGUAGAUAUCUGGAAGAACACCAGUAGCGAAGGCGGUCGACUGGCCCGUAACUGACGCUCAGGCACGCGAACAGGAUUAGAUACCCUGGUAGUCCACGCCCUAAACGAUGUAUGUAAGCAUACCACCUGGGGAGUACGCUCGCAAGGGUGAAACUCAAAGGAAUUGACGG